GUUCCUGUAGUUGAAUAACAACGAUGAUUUUUCAUGUCAUUGGUCAUAGUUAGAGUCUAUGCGGGAAUU
rnacentral:tRNA from 1 species